AUUGAACGCUGGCGGCAGGCCUAACACAUGCAAGUCGAGCGGUUGAAGGGAGCUUGCUCCCUGAUUCAGCGGCGGACGGGUGAGUAAUGCCUAGGAAUCUGCCUAUUAGUGGGGGACAACGUUUCGAAAGGAACGCUAGUACCGCAUACGUCCUACGGGAGGAAGCAGGGGACCUUCGGGCCUUGCGCUAAUAGAUGGGCCUAGGUCGGAUUAGCUUGUUGGUGAGGUAAUGGCUCACCAAGGCGACGAUCCGUAACUGGUCUGAGAGGAUGAUCAGUCACACUGGAACUGAGACACGGUCCAGACUCCUACGGGAGGCAGCAGUGGGGAAUAUUGGACAAUGGGCGAAAGCCUGAUCCAGCGAUGCCGCGUGUGUGAAGAAGGUCUUCGGAUUGUAAAGCACUUUAAGUUGGGAGGAAGGGUUGUAGAUUAAUACUCUGCAAUUUUGACGUUACCGACAGAAUAAGCACCGGCUAACUCUGUGCCAGCCGCCGCAGUAA
rnacentral:rRNA from 1 species